rnacentral:sRNA from 1 species
GCUAGAAAACUUGCAACUAAAAUUGGGAUCUGCUUGUAGCAAGAAUACAGAUACCUCUGGGAUAGAUUUUUAUAUUAACUACAUUUUUCUGCUAUAUUUUUUAGGAGCUUGAAAUUGUAAUUGGAGAUGAGCACAUAUCUUUUACCACAUCAAAAAUAGGUUCUCUUAUUGAUGUAAAUCAGUCAAAGGAUCCUGAAGGCCUUCGAGUAUUUUACUAUUUGGUACAAGACUUGAAAUGUUUAGUUUUCAGUCUUAUUGGAUUACACUUCAAGAUUAAACCAAUUUAAAUUGUAUGUUUUCAGGCUGUUUGUAUAUUUAAUUAAGGGAUGGGAGGGGUUAUUUGUCAUUUACAGUAUUGGGGUUUUUAUGAAUGUGAAGCAAACAAAAAAAAUUUGUAUGUAAACUGAAAAUAAGAAAAUACAUUAGCAAGCUUAAUGGUUAUCCUUACUUGAGUCCACAUGGGUUGGACAGUCCCCACACACAUUAAAUUCUGUAAAUAAAAGCCACCUUUUGUUAAAAAUUUGCUCUAAUAAAACAUACCAAAUCCUG